CGAUGUUAUCGUUGACAGGAUCGGUUUACUUUUAGCUGAACUCAACAAAGUUACAGUGACAGAGGUAUUAUUUCUCGUCAGCGAAUUUUUCGUCUGGUCCCCGUCACAUGAACUGAAUUUUUUUCCGUAUACUUGUUUCAUUGCAACAAAAGGGCGAAAAGUGCAACCUAGUUCAGUUAAAAAAGACAACCCCCAUAUAUAAGACAUUGGACAUCGCAAUUGCAACGGAGCAUUCAGGAGAAACAAGAACGAUCUUAUGUCCAUCGGAAGCGCAACGAUCUCAUCUUUCCAAUGGUUCUUGUUUCAAGUCGCUACGACGUUUAGAAGUGACGUUAUACACAAUUGUAUCGAUCCGCGUUCUAGAUCGUUCGGCGUUGUCGCUGCGGUACGUCACGACGCGAUGCGUAAAUGGAAUUCACGCGAAUGGAAUGGAACGCGACUAUUACUGCCAGGAAGUCACCUUGCGCACUGGACGCACAUACGCAGCGAGCUCGGCCCGCUUACCUCCACCCCGCGGCUCAGAUAAGCAUAGGUUUAUUAAAAAAAAAACUUUCAGAAUCUAGUUUCAUGGUUUAAAUGUAUAAUUUAAGCGACUAAAUCUUGAUUCUGAAAAAGAAAGAACUAUAUAUUUGCCUUAUAUAACUAAAUAAUUUCCUAACUGUGUGACUUUAUUAGCUUGCAUUAUUUGACUGAAUAAUUUAGCAACAACUACCGAAUUUUUAUACUCGUUACGAAAUACUUUUAACACAUGAAAGCCCAUCACUGACGCGGUCAUUCACCUCAUUUAAAAAGUAGAUAUAGCGCGUUGGCGCGAGAGCAAACGAAUGCACGAAGUGUUGCAGGAAUGCAAAUUUCGAACCUAAAUCUGAUAUAUCGCAGCCUUAAGCAGUUCUGUAAUUCAAUAAAAUAAAAUUUAAUAUAAUAAAGUAUAAUUUAAAUGGCUAUAAACACGCGAAUAAGUCGACGCUGCGACAUGAAAUAAAACAAAGUUCGAAUGUUCGAGAAAUUUAUUCAGGAUAUUUAGAAAUAUAUAUAAUUGCUUUUUCUUUUCUUUCUCUUUUUUUCUCUCUUUCAGUUACUUUACAGGCAAGUGUGCGUUUUUAUUUUCAAUUAACAAAUUUCCAUCUUACAACGAAAAAAGUAUCUUACCUGAUAGCCGAUUCUUAACAAUGACGACAAAACGAUUAGCCUUUUAGCUAAGUCUUAACUGAGAUUUAGCUAACAUUAUACUAAAUCAUUUCUUUGCGUGUAGUAUCUUGCUGCAUACCGUUACUAUUAUUGUUGCUGUUGUUUCAACCGCGUGUCUCGCGCGAACCUUUGUCUGUCCCAGAGUUAUGAUUCUCCGCGGACGUGAUGUUCUCGCCGAACGAGAGCAAAUCUCGUGCGCUUUUGAGCAGCCCCGGAUAUUCCUAUAUUAAUCAGAACGUGUGCGCGAGCGCGCGCUCGGAGGAGUUGACUAUAAAUCCGUAUUCAGCGGGCAUAUCCUAUCGCAAUAAUCAUGACGGGCGGUCUAU